rnacentral:lncRNA from 1 species
GCUUCGUCGAACCGCUCCAAGGGAUCAGGACGGAGGCCCGGAGCCCGCCCGUGGGAGUCCCGGCAAGGCGCAGCCGGCAGAGCCCAGAACUGCCAGCCCAGCGUGGGGGGUCGCGGCUUCCGAGGAAAUCGGGCUGGCAGCGGGGAGACGGGGCGGACCCCGACUUCAGGACCUCGGGCCGCUCAUUCCCACCCACUUCGGGGCGACCCCCGCCACUCCUGCCCCGGCCUCACGGACACUGAGAACGCGUCGGCCACGUCCAGGGCCCAGGAAGGUGGCGCCCCGCUCCCAAGCCUGCUACAGGGAACCCGGGACUCGGCCCAAGACGGGGCCUGACAGCGGCUGCGCGGCCGCCGCUCCCUCGAAGCCGAGUGCGCCUCAGAUCCCGCGAGACUGGAGUCUCCGCGCUGCGAACCCCCUCAGUGGCGAGCCCCCCGCGGUCACUGCUCGGACAAUGACCCUUGCAGUCUUCCCUGUCGGGUCCUACUCGUGCGCUGAACCGAGGUCCGCAGGCUUUUCUUCCAGUGGCCCCGCUCCGCCGACAGACCCCCCUGAACCACAGACUCGGCUUUCUGGGUGCACACGUGGCCCUUUAUUCGAAUCCGACUUUCACAGGGCUCCACAUCGUUGUGGGCAAGGACUGGCCGCCCCGUAAGCUGCCGGCGCACCGCAGCCCGUGCUCCAGGAGAGACUCGAGGCCCUGAGCCCGCACCUCACUGGCGAAGCGCCUCCUGGAAGGAGGAGGAAGGGAGGGAGAACAGGCGCGGGCUCCAGGCGGGGGACCCGGCGCUCCCGGGAGGCGCUGCCCUGCACCCAACACACACCGAAAGGCGCCCGCCAUGGGGCCAUAGGUGCGGGAGAGCAGGACUCACUGAAACGCCCAGGUGCCGCCCGGGACAGGGCUCAGCGCCACAUGCCACUCUUCCCGAAAGCACUUACAGGGGACAAGCCUCCUGGGCAAGCGGCUGCCUCCAGCUCUUGUUCCAGGUGAAGUCCCUCCUGGGACAGUGACCCCAGAGGUCAUCGCUGCUCUCAGGCCACCCUUCCCCGAGUCCUGGCCGGGCCCCUUCAACCUGCCAAAGCAAAGCAGCGUUACUCCCAACGUCCUCCACAGGGCUCACAGCUGCCCCUCCCGGCCUCCCCGGAAACAGCCACAGCCCCUAGGAAGGUCUCAGGCUAGUCAGGGGGCUGUGACCUCAGGCUCCGUCACAGGCCAGCAUGCCCAGGGCGGGUCUGCACCUUGGCGCAGCUGGAGCCAGCUACCCGUAUGGGAUGGAGCUAUGUGGGCCAGUGUGGGCUCUAGAAAAAAACUAAUGGCGGCAACAGACAUCAGAGAAAGCUAAGUUAAGAGUGUGACUUAAAGAGGUCUGGAAAAGACGGUCAAUUGAGCAAAAAAUCCAAAAGGCGGGGGCGUUCACUGGUCUUCAAUCCUGCUUAAGGGAUUUCAUCUAUGAGCCAGGCAUGACUGGGCCCAGGCUGCACCUGGCUGCACGUGGGGAGCGUAAUGGCUGGGCCUGACUUUAGUUCCAGCUUAAUUGAAAAAAACAAAAACAAAGUUAAAAAAAAAAGGAAAAACAAAAAACAGUCACAGGAACAUUCCCCGGGCACAUGACUUUCAGUGAGCUCUCAACAAGAGGGAUGUGGACACGAGCGGAAGGAGUUACCUCGAAUUACAGGGCUAUUUCCACAUAUGAGCUAGCCAAGGGAGCAGCUUGCGUCUCAGAGGGUUCUGUUGGGCGCACAACACUUCUGUCCUCCGAGGGCUGCAGCUUCCAUAGGCUAGCAGAGAAUGCUCAGAACUCGUGAAGCAACAGCAGAACUAGCUAACCGGCUGGCCGUCUGAGGUCGCCCUGGGAUGCCACGUGCCUCUGCUCUCUGGCCUGCUUCUAGACUGAGGCAGUCCAGGUCAGCGUCAGGUGCACGUCCACUGUCCCUGCUAAGCUGCCCGCACAGUCCAGCCCUCUGGCCACCACUGCCAGAAGCCUCCCAGGGCUGCCCUGAGGCCUGAGCUGCCCGCUCCCGUCCCCCGCCUGGCUCCCCUACCCUGACCAGCGCCAGUCUGCUGGGCCUCCCUUUCUAGCUCUGCAGGCCCCAGGGAAGGCUUGCAGACCCGCUGCUUCUCCACCUUCUCUCUCUGCUCAGGUCUGGCUGCAGGAGCCCGCAGCAAGGAGUGUGUGGUGCAAUGCAAGGGAAUUGUCAGAGCAAGGUUCAUUUCACACGGUCUUUUAAUCGGCUUCGUAAAGCCAAAGAAAACUGCGUACAAGAAUUCCUCAGCCACUGCAAAUACAACAUCGAUGGAGUAUGCGUACGUCUUCCAGUAAAAAAGGACAAUAUAAAUAAACAUCUUCAAGAACCUCUCAGGGACGUCUGCACGUCUACUGUGGGGCGCACAGCACAGAUGGACGCAGGGGCUGGGGCUCCAGGGCAGUUGCUGCCACACCCGCCGGGGUCCUACCACACUACACUCAGAAACGUCACACGGAGUUGGAAAAAAGCCACAGCUUGCUCAGCUUCCGACAAAGAGCGGAUUCACAGUCCGUUCGAUCUCAGAGAAGUGAGUGGGGCACCCACUUCAUGGGGCCAACCCCACUAAAAAAAAAAAGGCAACGCAACCAAAAACUAAAACAAAAACCAAAAACCCACACAACCCCCGAUUUUUUUGAAAACUCAUGGCUCGUGGUCAAAAAAGUAAAUGCUUUUCAAAAUGUUUUGAAAACCCUCAAAAAAAAACAGCACUUCCUUAAAAAGAAAAGUCUAGUAACGAGGCCAUCCCGGCGUCAGAAGCGGUCAGGCUGGGUUUGACAAGAUCAGAACCGAAAUGACUACGAAAGUGGGAAUACAAGGAGGUGCAUUUACUACACAUUAACGUUCAGCGAAGCUCCCACAAUCUUUAAACACACAGCCAUUGGAAGGACGAUCUUGAGCAGGAAGGGUUUUUACUCGUUGUGUGUAGCUGAGGACAAGAAGCAGGCACAGUGUAAAGGCACCGAAGCAACAAGAGGCAGCUUCACCCCAGAGGCCAGACCAGGGCGCGGCCUGCGGCCGGGGAGCAACCACCCCCCACAGCCGAGGGAGGCUGGCCUGCGGCCACACAUGCACCUAGCUGACUGCCCAGCGGGCCCUCGCUCUCCCUUGCCUUUUUGGUCAGUCUCAUUUGGCUUUUGCGUCCUGCGAUAGAAAUGGCUCUGAGAGGACAGAUGCGCCUCUUCUGGGCAAGCACAGUGACAAGGUCUGAGUGUCCAGCCUAAAGUGCUUGGAGAGGGCACCAAGGUGAACCGAGCUCCCACCGCAGGCCACAGCAGCGUGGCGCCCUCGGAGUGUGACUUACCGUAACUGUCAUAACUGUCUCUGUAGGACCCGCCCGAGCUCCGGUCACUGUAGCCACCACUCUGACUCCGGCUGCAAGACAGACAAACGUUGAGUACCGGAAGGUACCCGUCUACUUCUGCUCUGCCACAACAGGCUGAGCCGCCAGCCCCCAUGCCAGCCGUCCCUUCUGGGGACACAACAAGGACCCCAGCAGGGCAGCAUCUUGGAAAUUGUUCAAAAUCUCCACCAGCCUGUCCCCCAGGCCCUCCCGCUUCUGCGAAUGUCCUGAGCAGUCUCCUCUCCUCUUGGCCUGGGUCCCCACCUGCCUCUGCUCCUUGCCCAGCCAGUCUCAUCUCAGCUCCCCCAGGGACCUGGGACCCGGGACGGAAGCUGGCCAUCCCGCAACCACCCCUGUGCUUGGGCCGGCCUCCCCCUCACCUGCUAUAGUAGUCUCUGGAGC